rnacentral:rRNA from 1 species
CUGUCCUACGGGAGGCAGCAGUGGGGAAUAUUGCACAAUGGGCGAAAGCCUGAUGCAGCAACGCCGCGUGAAGGAAGAAGGCUUUCGGGUUGUAGACUUCUUUUCUCAGGGACGAAGAAAGUGACGGUACCUGAGGAAUAAGCCACGGCUAACUACGUGCCAGCAGCCGCGGUAAUACGUAGGUGGCAAGCGUUAUCCGGAUUUACUGGGUGUAAAGGGCGUGUAGGCGGGACUGCAAGUCAGAUGUGAAAACCACGGGCUCAACCUGUGGCCUGCAUUUGAAACUGUAGUUCUUGAGUACUGGA